rnacentral:rRNA from 1 species
AGGCAGCAGUGGGGAAUCUUCCGCAAUGGACGAAAGUCUGACGGAGCAACGCCGCGUGAGUGAAGAAGGUUUUCGGAUCGUAAAACUCUGUUUUCAGGGACGAAUGUGCAGCUUGUAAAUAAUGAGUUGUUAAUGACGGUACCUGACUAGAAAGCCACGGCUAACUACGUGCCAGCAGCCGCGG